CACAAUAGAAAAGAUUUCACAUGAAUUUGGAUAGAAGGUGUUUGAAUAUCUACCUGCAUGGGCUCUAUGGAUGAAGGCAAUGUGCGCACUCAACAGAACAAUGUCAUAUGUGAAUGCAAGCAACAAUCACACAAAAACCUCCCUCAUCAGCAACGUAACAAGACCUUCAAAUAUAAUAAAUUAUAUUGAUAAUACAUUCUCAACAGAUCCUGUAGUAGAUGGUGUCAAAUUGAAUGGGAUGUUCUACAUUUUAAUCGGUAUUUCUGGGUUUACUGUUACCAUUGUCCUUUUACUGGCCAUUCUGU